GUGCUCACUACAGCAGCACAUAUACUAAAAUUCGAACAAUACAGAGAAGAUUAGCAUGGCCCCUGAACAAGGAUGACAUGCAAAUUCAUGAAAUGUUCCAUAUUCUU
ensembl:snRNA U6 U6 spliceosomal RNA